CUCCUACCCAUUCCGAACAGGAAAGUUAAGAUCCAUAGCGCCGAAGGUACUGCACGGGAGACUGUGUGGGAGAUUAGGACGUUGCCAGGU
rnacentral:rRNA from 1 species